rnacentral:rRNA from 1 species
UACAGAGGGUGCGAGCGUUAAUCGGAAUUAUUGGGCGUAAAGGGCUCGUAGGCGGUUUGUCGCGUCGGGAGUGAAAACCAGGUGCUUAACACCUGGCUUGCUUUCGAUACGGGCAGACUAGAGGUAUUCAGGGGAGAACGGAAUUCCUGGUGUAGCGGUGAAAUGCGCAGAUAUCAGGAGGAACACCGGUGGCGAAGGCGGUUCUCUGGGAAUGACCUGACGCUGAGGAGCGAAAGUGUGGGGAGCGAACAGG